CAUAAGAAGACUUCCGGUGCUUCGGAGGUGGACUUCCAGCCCUUCAGGGCUUCCGGAGGGAAACAAGAAAAGUGCCAACGAGGGAGCCACAGCUGAUGUUCCACUGAUAAUGUAUCAUGGAGGAGAACAUCCCUUUGAGGGUGACGAGCAGAGAUAACUCAACGGAUGUGAAUGGAGAGGGAAAGAGCACAUGAGGUGACUCACAGACAAGGUGUGGCACGAUGGUCUGAGGACUCGAUCCGCUGCCAAGGACAGGCUACCAGCAGCCAGAUCCAUUACCUCCCCAGGUGCCCCCUGACCUUAGACAGCCUGGAUUUAUGAAGGUAGCUUGAGGGAUGUGAGUUUAAUACCUAUACUCUAGGCAAUUCUCUAAUACUCUGAGUUAUAGAGAUGCCAUCAAACUGAAUUUGUAGAAGUCAACUCAUCUGGAAAUUCUCUCUGUCUGGGAAAUCAGAAAUCCAAUCCCUUUCUCUAUUUAUGUGUCAAGCAUGGCUCUAGUCAUCGUGAAUACAAAAUAAAAACCAAAUCAAACCAAAUCUUAUCUGAGA